rnacentral:rRNA from 1 species
GAAGAACGCUGGCGGAGUGCUUAACACAUGCAAGUCGAACGAAGUGGCGAACGGGUGAGUAACGCGUAAUCAACCUGCCCUUCAGAGGGGGACAACAGUUGGAAACGACUGCUAAUAACGCAUACUGAAGGAGGGGAUUGCGAGUGAAUAGCUAGUUGGGUGGGUAACGGCCCACCAAGGCGAUGAUCAGUAGCCGGUCUGUGAGGCUGAACGGCCACAGUGGAACUGAGACACGGCCCAGACUCCUUCGGGAGGCAGCAGUGGUGAAUCUUCCGCAAUGGACGAAAGUCUGACGGAGCAACGCCGCGUGAGUGAUGACGGCCUUCGGGUUGUAAAGCUCUGUUAAUCGGGACGCGGUACCGGAAUAGAAAGCCACGGCUAACUACGUGCCAGCAGCCGCGGUAAUUC